rnacentral:rRNA from 1 species
AUGAUGCUGGGCGCGGAGGCGGUGUGGCUCGACCUGCCCCCCACGGGAACCAAGUGCGUCUCCGAGGAGAUCCAGCCCAACGUGGUGGUGGUCGCGGACUACAUGCUCAUGUACGAGGCCCACGCCACCGCCCACCCCACCGUCGCCGUCAAGGUUACCUCACCGUAUGGCAAUACUGUACAUCACAAAGAAAAUGCCACAGUGGGCCAAUUUGCAUUUACAACUUCAGAAGCUGGAAACUACCUUGCUUGCUUCUGGCUAGACAGCGCAGAGAAAGGAUCAGGAGUAUCUCUAAAUCUUGAUUGGAAGAUAGGGAUUGCGACAAAGGACUGGGACUCUGUUGCCAAGAAGGAGAAAAUUGAGGGUGUUGAAUUAGAGCUCGCGAAACUUGAAGCUGCAGUGGAAUCCAUUCAUCAUAACUUGUUAUAUCUCAAAGCAAGGGAAGCGGAGAUGCGGGAAGUGAGUGAGAAAACAAAUUCAAGGGUUGCCUGGUUCAGCAUCUUGUCACUGGGCGUGUGCGUUGUGGUCUCCGCUCUGCAGCUAUGGCAUUUGCAAGGAUUCUUCCAGAAGAAGAAGCUCAUCUGA